CAUUGCAAACCCUUUUACUCCCUUGUCUCAGCAAAACACUUCAGCUACUCACUUUUUCUCUAUUUUCUUACACAAAACCCUUCACCGUCGUCGUUGUCACCAACAAAAACCCUUCUCUCUUUCUUUUUGUGAAGAAAUUGUUGACAUUAAACCCACACCUCUACCGCCACCACCAUUAACAUAAACAUUUCUCUCUUCUCUUGCGCGAAACACAUACCAUUGUCGCCGUUAAUGGAAAUUCAUCUGUAAAUUGAUCUACGAAGGAGUGUUCGAUAGGGGUACAGGACAUUGAAUUUAGGAUUUUCCAUCCUUUCAAAGUCAUUGGAAGUUAUUUUCCCAGCUUUAAAUAGGUACAAAAAGAAAAGAAAUGAAGAGUUAUAAAGCAUCAAUCCAACAUAAUUUGAGGAGUUUUUUCAAUCUUUGAUAUGUAGUGUAUGUUGAUUUUUGCUGAAAUUCUUAUCAAUGUCCACACAUAUAUGGGGCCUUGUCAAAUUUAGUAGAUAGGUUUCUAUUUUGUUUAGUCUAAUUUAUGUACAUAAAUAUGGGUUUCUCCAUGUUUUAAUUGAGUUUAGUAUAUUCUAUGUUUUAAAUGAUUUUUUUU